UUAAAAGCAAGUGGGUUAUUCUAAAGACUGUAGCCAGUUUAUGUUAAAAAAAAAAAAAAAAAAAAAAAAAAAUCUUCUCUCUAACAUCAAAACACCUCAGAUACAUGUACCGAUAUAAACGUGCAAGCGAACAUAUAAAUAACGGACCCUCGUGUCCACACAAAACCUAAUGUGAAAUAAUAAGGGGAGGUGGAACAGGCGUCUUCAAGAAUACGCGACUCAAUCAAAUUCCCUCUUUCACACUCCGAGGUCCAUAGCUGUAACGCAGCAGCUGAACUGCACCAAGAUUGAACUCCAGAAGAAGAAGAAGAAGAAGUAGAGAGACAUGGGUUCCAACUCUUGUGCAACAACAGUUUCUAAUUGCAGGUCUCGAUGUUCGAUUCCGAAAGCAAAUCUUCGCAUCGCCAGCUGGGUUGCCAUCCCAAACUGCGCGAAUGUGUGUGUAGAAACGGAAGAAGGCUGUGCGAGCAGACAGGGAA
rnacentral:lncRNA from 1 species